UACGUAGGCAGCAAGCGUUGUUCGGAGUUACUGGGCGUAAAGGGUGUGUAGGCGGUCUUCUAAGUUUGGUGGGAAAUCUCCCGGCUCAACUGGGAGGGUGCGCCGAAAACUGGGAGGCUAGAGUGCGGGAUGGGAGAGUGGAAUUCCUGGUGUAGCGGUGAAAUGCGUAGAUAUCAGGAGGAACACCUGUGGUGUAGACGGCUCUCUGGACCGCAACUGACGCUGAGACACGAAAGCGUGGGUAGCAAACAGG
rnacentral:rRNA from 1 species